AAAAUUGAUUUAUUUAUUUAGAAGCAUAAGAGUUAUUCCACUCACCUCUGGCUAGCUCUGACACUGACUGAAGCAGCUGACUCACUGCUGAGGUCCUCGGUUCCUCGGGUCCGAACCUACACAGGUGGACUCAAAUGAGGGACCAACAUACUAUAACAUGACUCUGAAAACAUCCCCCAAAAACCCUCUAAAACACCUCAAAACAUCCAUGCA
rnacentral:lncRNA from 1 species